rnacentral:rRNA from 1 species
UGAGGAAUAUUGGUCAAUGGGUGCAAGCCUGAACCAGCCAUCCCGCGUGAAGGACGACUGCCCUAUGGGUUGUAAACUUCUUUUGUAUAGGGAUAAACCUACCCUCGUGAGGGUAGCUGAAGGUACUAUACGAAUAAGCAUCGGCUAACUCCGUGCCAGCAGCCGCGGUAAUACGGAGGAUGCGAGCGUUAUCCGGAUUGAUUGGGUUUAAAGGGUGCGUAGGCGGCGAUAUAAGUCAGUGGUGAAAUAUUUCGGCUUAACCGAGAGACUGCCAUUGAUACUGUGUUGCUCGAAUAUGGUUGCUGUGAGUGGAAUGUGUGGUGUAGCGGUGAAAUGCUUAGAUAUCACACAGAAUAUCGAUUGCGAAGGCAGCUCACAAAGCCAUUAUUGACGCUGAGGCACGAAAGUGUGG